rnacentral:lncRNA from 1 species
GCAGAUAUCAAUGAGUGCAACACCGCAAAUCCUACUCGAAUAACAAAGACGAGCAAAGACAGAUCACGGACCGCCAUUCACAAGGAAGUUCAAGAGGUGGAAGACCUUCUGCGUCGUCCAUCCAAAUUCUGGUACUCUACAUUCGAUCCUAAUUAACUGAAUCUGCAAUUUUAUGUACGUGAAAUGAUGAGUGACAACAAUGACGAACGAUCAUGCAUUGUAGAAAACGGGACGAGCUUGUCUAAUCCCUUGAAUUCGUUAAAUCUCUCCAUCAGGAAGUCGAAACCCUAACGCCGAAAAUCCAAUGCAACGAUCAAGAAGGAUCAACAGAAUGGAAUCAAAAGAUAUGGACAAGAAGAUUACAAGGGCGACGGCGGAGAUGAGUCCGAAGAGAA